ACGGAUUGUCCAUCCGGUAACCGCGAUAAGGUGAAGGCCUUUUUAACUGCUGGUCACCGGGUAGACAUUCCUUGC
rnacentral:pre_miRNA from 1 species